rnacentral:rRNA from 1 species
UACGGGGGGGGCAAGCGUUGUUCGGAAUUACUGGGCGUAAAGGGCUCGUAGGUGGCCAACUAAGUCAGACGUGAAAUCCCUCGGCUCAACCGGGGAACUGCAUCUGAUACUGGAUGGCUUGAGAUUGGGAGAGGGAUGCGGAAUUCCAGGUGUAGCGGUGAAAUGCGUAGAUAUCUGGAGGAACACCGGUGGCGAAGGCGGCAUCCUGGACCAACACUGACGCUGAGGAGCGAAAGCCAGGGGAGCAAACGGG